CGUGGCGUGGCGCACGGUGACGCCGACGUUCUCGAUGUCGGUGAGGCGGAGGCAGCGCUGCACGGUGACGGCGCGCCGCGUC
rnacentral:tRNA from 1 species